rnacentral:rRNA from 1 species
UACUGAGAGGUGAAUUAAAGGAAGAUUGGUUAAAAAUAGUUAAAUAGACAGUAUUUUAAUAAAUUUGUAAAUUCGUAUUAAUAAAGGGUGAAAUCAAUUUUUUUAAUGUGCAAAUGUAUAAAUUAGUUAAAAAUAAAUUGAAGCUGUUAAGACAAAGGUAUGGACCAGGAUUAGAUACCCUGUUACACUUUGUUUAAAAUUAAUAUACCUGGGUAUUAAACAGUUAUUGGCUUGAAACUCAAAGGAUUUGGCGGUAGUUUAGUCUAUUUAGAGGAACCUGUUCUGUAAUCGAUAGUCCACGAAAAAUCUUACUUUAUCUUGUAUUAUACCAGUUUGUAUACCGUUAUUAUUAGAUAACUUUAAUAAAAUAUUUAGUUAUUGAAAUAGUUUUUAUUUAAUAUAUUAGAUCAAGGUGCAGCUUAUGGUAAAGGAGAAAUGGGUUACAAUAAUAUAAGUAGUUAUAAUGGAUUGAAAAAAGAACUUUUUUAUGAAAGUGGAUUUAAUAGUAAGAAAGUUUUAAUAAGGCUUUCUGAUUGUAGCUCUAAGCUAUGUACACAUCGCCCGUCGCUCUCGUUAAUUAAAGC